GGGGUAUUAGUAAAUUUAUUACAUGACUUUGUCAAGGUCAAAUUACAGAUUUAUCUGUAUACCCUA
rnacentral:tRNA from 1 species